rnacentral:rRNA from 1 species
CAAGGAAUUAAGAGUUUAUGGGGGAUACCUUGGCAUUCAGAAGCGAUGAAGGACGUGGUUACCGACGAUACGCUUCGGGGAGCUGGAAACAAGCUACGAUCCGGAGGUCUCCGAAUGAGGAAACUUUAAUACUACUUAUUGAAUACAUAAAUAAGAAAGAGCAAACCUAGGGAAUUGAAACAUCUUAGUACCUAGAGGAAGAGAAAGUAAAAACGAUUCCCUUAGUAGCGGCGAGCGAAGCGGGAACAGCCUAAACUUAAUAAUUAAGGGUAGCGGGACAGUUAGAAAUGAUUAAAUGUAACAAUUAGACGAAUUAGUUGGAAUACUAAACCAAAGAGAGUGAUAGUCUUGUAGUCGAAAAUUGAAACAAUCAAACUGAAUCCCAAGUAGCAUGGAGCACGUGAAAUUCCGUGUGAAUCAGCGAGGACCACCUCGUAAGGCUAAAUAUUCCUGAAUGACCGAUAGUGAAUUAGUACCGUGAGGGAAAGGUGAAAAGAACCCCGGGAGGGGAGUGAAAAGAACAUGAAACCAUAAACUUACAAUCAGUAGGAGGACGACUAAAACGUCUAACUUCGUGCCUGUUGAAGAAUGAGCCGGCGACUUAUAGGUAGUGGCAGGUUAAGGCAGAGAAUGCCGGAGCCAUAGCGAAAGCGAGUCUGAAUAGGGCGUUUGUCACUGGUUAUAGACCCGAACCCGAAUGAUCUAACCAUGGUCAGGUUGAAGCUUAGGUAAUACUAAGUGGAGGACCGAACCGACUGAUGUUGAAAAAUCAGCGGAUGAACUGUGGUUAGGGGUGAAAUUCCAAUCGAAUUCGGAGCUAGCUGGUUCUCCCCGAAAUGCGUUUUGGCGCAGCGAUAAAUGUUAUAACUUAGGGGUAAAGCACUGUUACGUAUGCGGGCUGGUAAUUCGGUACCAAAUCGUUGCAAACUAAGAAUACUAAGUGGAAAGUUUAUCAGUGAGACUGUGGGGGAUAAGCUCCAUUGUCAAGAGGGAAACAGCCCAGAGCACCAGUUAAGGCCCCUAAAUAAUUGCUAAGUGAUAAAGGAGGUGGGAGUGCAUAGACAAUCAGGAGGUUUGCUUAGAAGCAGCAAUCCUUUAAAGAGUGCGUAAUAGCUCACUGAUCGAGUAAACCUGCGCCGAAAAUGUACGGGACUAAGUAAUUUGCCGAAACUGUGCGAUAUAUUUGAAAUAUAUCGGUAGGGGAGCGUUCUGUUGUAGAUUGAAGUAUUAGCGUAAGCGGAUAUGGACGAAGCAGAAGUGAGAAUGUCGGCUUGAGUAACGAAAAUAUAGGUGAGAAUCCUAUACCCCGAAAACCCAAGGUUUCCUCCGGAAGGCUCGUCCGCGGAGGGUAAGUCAGGACCUAAGGCGAGGCUGAAAAGCGUAGUCGAUGGACAACGGGUUAAUAUUCCCGUACCAUUAUUUGUUGAUAUCGAGGGACGGAGAAGGCUAAGCUGGCCGGAUGUUGGUUACCGGUUUAAGCGCUUAAGGUGAUGAGAAACGGAGAAAACGUUUUGAGCUAAGGCGUGAGUACGAGAUGCUACGGCAUCGAAGCAGUCUAGGUCAUACUUCCAAGAAAAGCUCGCACUGUCAUAAACAAAUAAUGCCUGUACCAUAACCGACACAGGUGGGUAGGUAGAGUAUACUAAGGGGCGCGAGAUAACUCUCUCUAAGGAACUCGGCAAAAUGACUCCGUAACUUCGGGAGAAGGAGUGCCUUAUUCGUAAGGUUGCAAUAACCAGAUCCAAGCAACUGUUUAUCAAAAACACAGGUCUCCGCAAAGUCGCAAGACGAUGUAUGGGGGCUGACGCCUGCCCAGUGCCAGAAGGUUAAAGAAGUUGGUUAGUUUCGACGAAGCUGAUAACUGAAGCCCUGGUGAACGGCGGCCGUAACAAUAACGGUCCUAAGGUAGCGAAA